GAUGAACGCUGGCGGCGUGCCUAAUACAUGCAAGUCGAGCGAACAGACGAUGAGCUUUCUCGUCUGAUGUUAGCGGCGGACGGGUGAGUGACACGUGGAUAACCUACCUAUAAUACUGGUAUAACUUCGGGAAACCGGAGCGAAUACCGGAGAAUAUAUGGAACUGCAUGGUUCAAGAGUUAAAGACGGUUUUGCUGUCACUUAUAGAUGGAUCCGCGGCGCAUUGGCGAGUUGGUAGGGUAAUGGCUUGCCAAGGCAGCGAUGGGUAGCCGGGCGGAGGGGGGGGACGGUCACACUGGGACUGGGACACGGCCCACACGCGUAGGGGAGGGAGCAGUAGGGACUAUUGCGCACUGGGCGCAAGCCGGGUGCAGCGACGCCGCGUGAGGGAUGGAGGCCUUCGGGUUGUAAUCCUCUUGCGCCAGUGAAGCAGGCCUGCUCCUUGUGGGUGGGUUGACGGUAGCUGGAUAAGAAGCGCCGGCUAACUACGUG
rnacentral:rRNA from 1 species